GACAGAGGCCUCGAGCGUUAGGCGGAAUCACUGGGCUUAAAGCGUGUGUAGGCGGGCCCGUAAGUGUCUUGUGAAAUCCCACGGCUCAACCGUGGAACUGCUGGGCAUACUGCGGGUCUUGGGCCAACUAGGGGCAGCCGGAACAAGCGGUGGAGCGGUGAAAUGCGUAGAUAUCAGGAGGAACACCGAUGGCGAAGGCAGCUCGCUGGGACGGUACUGACGCUGAGACGCGAAAGCGUGGGGAGCGAACAGG
rnacentral:rRNA from 1 species